GGGCCCGUAGUCUAGCCUGGUUAGGACGCCGCCCUCACACGGCGGAGGUCCGGGGUUCAAAUCCCCGCGGGCCCA
rnacentral:tRNA from 1 species